UGUGCGGGUGGGCUCGGGGUGGCGGAGAGACCCUUCGAGCCUCGUGGUCCAAAUGCGCCGCUUUUCAGCAGGGAGGGGGUUCCCUCUUCUUAAUGAGAAAGGCACUUAAUUCAGCCCCGGCGGCUCCUUCACUUUGUGAUCAAGGCAACUCUCUCUAGCCGCUUAGAGUGGUCCUGAGUUGGCUAGAUGGGCGGGAUAUUAAAUUCCCCCUUCAGAAUCAGAAGACUUUUUGUCCCAUUGCUCGAACACUAGUUUUUUCCCCCAAGUUUAAGGACAGGUUGUCUCUAGCAUAUAGUUAAGUGCUCAGUCUUCACCCUGUGUUAAACAAACCCCUCUUACCCCCCCACAUGAUUUCUUGUAUACUUAGACUAAAACAAGAGUAAUUGGGAUCCUAAAAAUAAAUAAAUAAUAAAAGGGAGGGAUUUGCGAGGGAAGGGAUCACCCUCGAGGUCUGGACUGACCCUUUCAAUCGCACUUUUAGUCCCAAGUGGAGGAAACAGGACAUUCUCGGCCUUACUUUACUCGGGAACGAAUAGCACCCGAUCAGCACCUCGGACAGCUCCCCGGGGCGCCUGGGCUUCUGCGGGAUCCCGGCGAAAGGGGAGGGCGGUGGCUGAUGGGCCUUUUGGGACGCCCGCCUCACUCCUCCCCGGGACAGCUCUCGUUCUUUGGCCUUCAGGAAACCCUGGCCUCAAAUAUUCAGCAUAACUGAAGGGAGUAGCAAGCGAGCAAUUCCGUGGUGAAGGGAAAGUACUCGUCUGCAGCUCAGAGGCGCUCUUUAGUGUGGGUUCCAAAGCAUUCAAGGGAAGGAAAAGGGGUGGAGGGGUGGAGAAGGGCCUGCGUUUUAAUGGAUGGGGUGGGAGGGGUGGUCUGAAGGAAUGGCAGCCAAGGUUUCAUGCUAUGCCAAAGUCCAUUGCUCCAAACCACUGAGCAGACCGCAGCAAGCAGAGCACCCCUGCUCUCCUUUCAAACAAAGCCAUGCUCCUGGCUCUGAGGGGUGUGCAGGUGAGUCAGCCCAUGGGCAGAAAUGUUCCUAGGUGGCAGCUGAGCACAAAGGCUCCCGAACUGGUCCUUGUCCCAAUCUAGUUCGGACUAGGAGCAAGCAUUGGAAAGAAUC
rnacentral:lncRNA from 1 species